AGAGUUUGAUCCUGGCUCAGAAUCAACGCUGGCGGCGCGCUUAACACAUGCAAGUCGCACGAGAAAGUGGGAAACCAUGAGUACAGUGGCGUACGGGUGAGUAACACGUGGGUAAUCUACCUCUGAGUGGGGAAUAACCCUGGGAAACCGGGGCUAAUACCGCAUAAUCUCGAGAGAGGAAAGCAGCAAUGCGCUGAGAGAGGAGCCCGCGGCCGAUUAGCUAGUUGGUAGGGUAAGAGCCUACCAAGGCAGAGAUCGGUAGCCGGCCUGAGAGGGCACACGGCCACACUGGCACUGAAACACGGGCCAGACUCCUACGGGAGGCAGCAGUGGGGAAUCUUGCACAAUGGGGGAAACCCUGAUGCAGCGACGCCGCGUGAGCGAUGAAGCCCUUCGGGGUGUAAAGCUCUUUCGUCAGGGAAGAUCAUGACGGUACCUGGAGAAGCAGCUGCGGCUAACUACGUGCCAGCAGCCGCGGUAAUACGUAGGCAGCGAGCGUUGUUCGGAGUUACUGGGCGUAAAGGGUGUGUAGGCGGUUCUUUAAGUUUGGUGUGAAAUCUCCCGGCUCAACCGGGAGGGUGCGCCGAAUACUGAGGGACUUGGAGUGCGGGAGAGGAAAGUGGAAUUCCUGGUGUAGCGGUGAAAUGCGUAGAUAUCAGGAGGAACACCGGUGGUGUAGACGGCUUUCUGGACCGUAACUGACGCUGAGACACGAAAGCGUGGGUAGCAAACAGGAUUAGAUACCCUGGUAGUCCACGCCCUAAACGAUGCAUAUUUGGUGUGGGUCAUUCAGUUGAUCCGUGCCGGAGCUAACGCGUUAAAUAUGCCGCCUGGGGAGUACAGUCGCAAGGCUGAAACUCAAAGGAAUUGACGGGGCCCGCACAAGCGGUGGAGCAUGUGGUUCAAUUCGACGCACGCGAAGAACCUUACCUGGGCUCGAACGGCUGGUCAACGGAGGUGGAAACAUCUUUACCCGGCAA
rnacentral:rRNA from 1 species